CUCUCUAAGUCUCUAUCGUCUCUUUCACUCGUUCCUCUUCUGCUCGGAGGAGACCCAGACGCCAGACGCUAGACCCACGUUCCUCUUCUGAUCGGAGGAGACCCAGACGCCUGACUCAGUUCGGACUUCAGACCGACGUUCCUCUUCUGCUCGGAGGAGACCCAGACGCCAGACCCAAUUCGGACUUCAGACCGACAUUCCUCUUCUGCUCGGAGGAGACCCGGACCCAGUUCGGUCCGUCGUUCUUCUGCUCGGAGGAGACCCAGACCCAGUUCGGUCGGUCGUUCUUCUGCUCGGGUCGGUUGUUCCUCUUCUCUGCUUCGGGUCCACCAGUCAGUUCAGGAGACUAACACAGAUGAUGGGACGGUUUGCAAAUCCCCAAUCUGAGCACAACUAUUACCAUUUCAUUUUCGGCACUAUGGUAUGCCUCCUCUUGGAAAGCAAAUGCAAGGGUUUGGCCGUUGUUAUUACUGAUUGGAACACUAGGUGAUCCAAGGGUUAUGGUUUUGUAACCUAAGGGACGUGAGAGUUUAAGCAAACACCCCCUGAAAACCUAGAACAGGGACUGUGUUUCAAUUAAGUAGGCCCGUUUACUUAUCAAGGAAAGGAGAAGAUCAAGGUAAUACUAGAAACUCGAAGUUCUAUAUCUGUUCUGAUAUCUUUUAGCAAGCAUGUUAGUCAUUUAAUAGUGUUUUUCUAUCUUGGCAAACUUUGUCCUUAAAGUGACCUCCUUCAAUAUUGUAUAUAAUAUACUGAAUUUGUAGUGAUUCAAAAUCUUCAAUGAUAGGUAAAUUCCUUCUGUGAACAAUGAAGAAUAGGUGUUAUUUUUUGUUGUUUCGUGUCUAAA